AUGAGGAGCAACAGACAUUUUAGAAAGAUUGGCACACUCCAGUGGCUGUCUUGGCGAAGAGUUCAGGAAGUGUGUCUGGGGCAGAAUGUUGGCAGCACAGCACAGUGCCAAAGGCAUGUGGCACAUCCUGGUAAGAGCCUUGCCAAACCUACUUCCCACCUCCUCCUCCAUCACCACACGCACACACACUUGAGGCUGGAUCCCUUACUUCACUCCACUCUUACUAAACUAGUGUGGAGAAUGAGCCCAGGGCUUCACUGGGCCCAAGUUAUCACUGAAAGAUUCCAAAACGAUCCUGGAGUUUUUCCCCCUCCCAGGACACUCUCUUCCCUGCAAAGUCACCUUUCAACACAGAAGGCAGUACUCACCCUUAACUGUUCAAAGAGCUCUGCCAAUUUGAAGAAGCUCCUAGGAGGCAGUGGGGAGGAGGGAGGCAGCAGAGCCUCAGAGGGAGCCCUCCCCCAGCCACCAUCCCUGGCUUCCGGGAAACCUUGCUCCUGCUAAAGUUUACAUAGCAGUUAAUCAUCUGGGCUUCGACAAUGGGCUCUGCUCAUCCUGGGACAUGGAAAAAUGGGAUUUGGUUUGUCAUUCACAUUGGGAGGCUUCUAGAGAUAAAAAGAAAUCCUCUGUGCCUGGCUAUUUAAAGAGACACAGGGAGGGCUAGGGGCCCUUCCACCCUCUGCCUUCACACGGAAGAGCCGUGGAGGUUAGAUCAAUGUUUUCCUUUUUCUCACUGCACCAGGGCUACCCACCCUUCUCCCAGAACGUACGCCAAGGGCCCAGGCCUGGCAGCCGCCUCCUCCAUCCCUGGCGAGGCUGUGAUGGAAGAACACUGAACGGGCACUCAGGCACCCAGGUCCCAGAGCGAUCAGGGCUCCCCAGUGAUCCUAGGUAGGUGAUGGGCACGGCCAGGUGAUCUCUAAGUUUCCCUCUACUUUGAGCUGCCUAGAGGUGCCAUGCCAUCUGUCAACCUCCCCAUCAGCAGCGUGCGCCCAUCGCAGUGUGGCUGGAAGGUCAAGGGUGCUAAUACACGAUGUGCCUGGCCUGGAACAAAGGCUAUGUGGGUGUGACCGUCCCCACAGCUAAGAGUCUGACCCAGAACUGACAAGCGCCCUCUAUUUAGGGAAUGCGGCUCUUCCUCCUCUGGUCCUGGCAGGGUAUGGGAAAGAGACUGGACCCUGUGGCCACCAUGGAGAACAAAACGGGGUCCUGGGGUCAGCAGGCACUGACCGCUUAGACCAUGGGCAGGCCACUUAAUCGAGCAGGUUCUUGUCUUGACUUGAGGGCCACUGCUACCUGUAAAAGGCUAAAACUUUGCAUAGAAUGUAUCCACUGUUUUGAUUAAUUUCCCUGUAGGUGGGGGAAAAAAGCCUGUAAAACAAAAACGCUGAAACACAGAAAAUGACAGUUCUUUUAUUUUGCUAGCUGAGGGGAAAGUUAUAAAAUAAAACAGACAACACAGAGCCUUACAACUUCCUUGGAUAGGCAAUGAACACAGAGACGAACAAUGACCAGGUAACAAACACAGGGAUACAGACAUGUAAACAAGACAGAACUUCCAGAGAAAGUUAUUUUAUACAUUACAACUUCCAGAAUACAGCAGCUCUUGCAGGCUCUAAAGUAAAAUGAAGCAAGACUCUUCCAAAACCAUCCACACACAUUCAGAGCUUUGUCAGAGAAGGCCCCCUCCCGCGUCCCAGGCUGUGUGGAUGCUGCAGGAGAGGCCAAGGCUGGGUCCACCUGGGCUUUGGCUUUGCAGGGGGGCUCCACCUGCUCUGUGCUCUCUUUCGAGUUUGCCUUCUCAUUCUUUGGCAGACUAGCUCCAGCCCCUGCCUGUCUCUCCCUUUUGACCCACAGCCCUUUCCUGUUCUUAGUAGGAAACCCGGGUAAAGCCAGGGGAGCCUGGCCGAGUCCUUCUAAUGGAGCAGGGGUGCAGGGGUGGCUCCCUCCUCAGAGGCUCAAGGGCCAACCCUGUCGUUAGAAAAACAGCAAAAAGGCUACAAAGAUAACUGGUUAACCAUCUCAUACUGUUCUCCCUCCAGAAGCUUCUGAUGUGUUUGGUUAUUACUCUGUCCCAUUUUUUUUGCUCCUGUCCUAGGGUUUUUGACUCAGCCAGGAAAGAGCAGACCUCGCAGCCUGGCCCUGCACUCUUCUUGUUACUGCCGGCGGUGGACCCCUGGGCGCAUCACAGACUCAUCACCCCACCACUGGUCUUAGCCCCACGGCCCCAGCCAGACAAACCCUCGACCUCUGGAAUGGUGAGUUGUUCUGCCCAUGGUCUGUCAUCAGGAGGCCAGGGGGCUCUUGGUCACUCGGAGGCUGGCCUUGAAAGGAUGUAGGAAGGAGGCAGAAUUCCAAGGAGGGAAGGGCAGAAGCUGUGAUGGGCUGACCCGUCAGGAGGAGAGAACGGGGCGCAGUGCACCCUCCCCCAGGGCUGGAGGGAAGUCUUCGAUUAAAUAUCUCGGGAAAGAUGAGGGUGGGUGAGGGCGGCCACCCCACAGCCGAGGCACAGGGGAGGUGUGAAAUGUCCAGGAUAAAUAGAACUGCGUGGGGAGGAGAAAAGCCAGCUCCAUCCUCUCUUAAAAGCAGUCGCCAUCGGCACCAAAAAUAUAUUAAUAUCUGUACACUUGUCAUCUUUUUAAAAAAGAAAUAAAACCUCCUUGGCACCAGUAGUUGACUUCUUAAAAAUGAGGUGAUAUGUGGCAAGGCCUCCUGUGUAUGCACGUCCACGGCUGUGCACACGCACGUGCAUCUCCCUGUCAACGAGCAGAGCCCUGUAGCCCUGAGCAAGAGGAACACAGCCGGGUGGGCCAUCGCUAGCUCCUCCAUCGCUGGUGUUUGCCGGGGUGUCCUUUGUAAGGGCACCCGACUGCCAUCCACAGGGAACCAGCUGCCCCUGCCCUGGGGCUUCAGAGGCGAGGGACAAGAGAAUCACCUUCCCGUACCUCGUCUGGGAAGAAGUCCUAUCUUUGGACUCAGCUGCUCCACAGGGAAGGCAGUCCCGGCCUCGCCCUGCCCCACAUGGCUGCCCAGGCUCAGAGCAGCCUCUGCCCAAAGACACCAGUGCAAAUACAAACAGAGGUCAGUAGUGCCAGCCUGAGCGAGCACGCGUGGCCAGCUCCAGGCCUGUCCUGGGUGCUCCGGCAGGAAGCCGCAGAGGGCGGGCUGGCGGGGCAGCGAGGAGGCGCCCCCACCCUCUCGGGGCGCCGCCGCCCACCUUCUUGGAGGUCUUGCGCAGCAGCGGGCUGUCGGGGUGGUGCUCCUUGAGGUGGAGGACGUGGCCCUCCUGGCUCUCGGACGUGCAGCCGCACUCCUCGCACACGUACAGCUUGGCCCGCCGCUCCUUGUAUGCGUACUUCUGCUGCACACCGUGGAUCUUCUUGAGGUGGGACUCCAGAGAGCAGCGCUGCGUGAAGGCCUUGUCACACAGGCUGCACUUGUAGGGCCGCACACCUGCAAGGUGGGUAGCACGGGCAUCAGGGACCCAGCUCUGGGGCACAGGAGCCCCAGCUCCCCAGCGGCCCGAGGGAGGGGAGAAGGAUGUCUGCGCCCCCCCGCCAUAGCCACGCGGCUGCUGGGCCUCGCUGCCUGGCGGGCCCCUCUCACCUGUGUGGGUGCGCACAUGCCUCUUGAGGUCGAAGGUGUCGUUGAAGCCCUUCCCGCAGUAAGUGCAGAGAUGCCUCUUGACGUCAUUGUGGCACUUCAUGUGGCGGUUCAGCAUGCGCUGGUAGGUGAAGGCCUUCUGGCAGAUGUGGCAGGUGAAGAGGUCUCCGCUGGGACCGUCCCCCAGCGUUACCUGUGGGCGAGGGCGGUGUGUGUGACAGACACCCAGGAGCUGGGGCUGCAGGUGGCAGAUCGGGAAGACACACCGCGCCAGCCCCCAGCCCCGAGGGGCGCUGCCCAUCCAGGGGCCACACCUCUGGGCCGCUGGCUCCCAGAGAUGGGGUGGUGGGG
rnacentral:lncRNA from 1 species